rnacentral:lncRNA from 1 species
CAAAAGAACAAUAGAGUUCUAAAUAAUCAAAAAUAUAUUCCAUCAAUUAAUUUUUUUUAUAUCAAGAAAUUUCCCAUACAAUUUGACCCAACUCUGUUUCCUGCCAUAAUUGCUGACCUCACCCUAACUAAUUACUAAGUAAGACUUAACACACACAUAACAAAAUCAUAUGUCGGACACAAAUAGCAAAAAAAUAAGUAAAUUUAAACUAUGUAGAAUUUUAAAAAUAAUGUUAUAUGAUGCUCUGGAUUUCAUCAUCAUCCUAGAGGAUUGUUAUAUGUGGGGUUGUCCUGGUGACAUUUAUUAUACUCAAAUAGAUUUCAUCAUCAUCAACACAAGAUGGAGAACAUCAAUUAAAGACUAUGUGACUUAUCUGGAAAAGAUUGUGGGAGUGACCAUCAAUAUCUUGAAGCAGAACUGAAACUUAAAGAAGUCUAUAGCAAAUAAAAUUAUAACAUAUGAUACAUAAAAAUGGAUUUAUUAUUAGACAGCUUCAGAAGUGAAAAACAUUUUGGAUAAUAUCAUGACUAAUGAAGACACAGAAAAUUUAUUGGCUUAGAACAAAAAGUGCACUAUAAAAAACAGCUGCUAAGGCAAAUGAUGUAUCUAACACUAAUAAUAAAAGAAAACUGUGAAUAAGUGAUGACACAUGGAACAUAAUACAAAUAUGUAAGACACAAAAAAAAAAGUUGGAAACAACUCAAAGAUAUAGAAAAAUAAGCAAAGAAGAAGAAAAUGUUGGAAAGAUAAAAAAUCAGUUUUUAAGCAAAAUUUGUAGAAACUACAAUUGCAUAACAACACAAAUGAAACUAAAGAUAUGUUCGUAAAAUUGAAGCAGAUCACAAGAAAAUUCUCAUCUCAACACACACAAAUCAGAAAUGAAAUUAGACAAUUGCUAACUGAUAGCAGUGAUAUUAAAGAACAAUAGAAGAAUUAUUAUAAAAAAACUUUUUAAAGAUGAUGACAAGGACACUCAUGACAGUGAAGUUCCAACAUUCGACUUAGAAUCUGACAUUAGUUUAGAGGAAGUAGAUUUUUGUUCUUUCUGAAAUAAAAUCAGACAAAACCUCAGGAAAAGAGAUAACAUUGUUAUUGAAAUGAUCACAUGAUGAAACUGGAACCAAAAUAAUAGUCACAAUCUGCAAAUAAGAUUUGAAGGAUCUAUAAAUGGCCUGACAACUGGACUAGUUAGUCUCUAUUUCUUUCCAAAAGAAAGGAGCUAAAGAUUGCCAUGAAAAUUAUAGAAAAAUAUCAUUUAUUUCUCAUACUAGCAAAGUAAUGCUACAAAUUAUCCUGGAAUGUCUAAAAGCUUAUCUGUUGC